rnacentral:rRNA from 1 species
ACCUCCGGACUGGGGUUCGCAAGCUUCACGGCGAACGUACCUCGGGAAGUUGGUUAAACCUCACUAUUUAGAAGAAGGUGAAGUCGUGACAAGGUCUCCGUAGGUGAACCUGCAGAAGGAUC